rnacentral:rRNA from 1 species
UUCCGGUUGAUCCUGCCGGACCUGACUGCUAUCGGAUUGAUACUAAGCCAUGCGAGUCUUUGCAGUAAUGCAAGGCAUACGGCUCAGUAACACGUAGUCAACUUACCCUAUGGACGAGGAUAAUCUCGGGAAACUGAGCAUAAUACUCGAUAGAUCAUAAUGCCUGGAAUGGUUUAUGGUUGAAAUGAUUCGUCGCCAUAGGAUGGGACUGCGGCCUAUCAGCUUGUUGGUGAGGUAAUGGCCCACCAAGGCGAUUACAGGUACGGGCUCUGAGAGGAGAAGCCCGGAGAUGGGUACUGAGACAAGGACCCAGGCCCUAUGGGGCGCAGCAGGCGAGAAAACUUUGCAAUGUGCGAAAGCACGACAAGGUUAAUCCGAGUGAUUUCUGCUAAAGGAAUCUUUUGCAAGUCAUAAAACCACUAGUGAAUAAGGGGUGGGCAAGUUCUGGUGUCAGCCGCCGCGGUAAAACCAGCACCUCAAGUGGUCAGGAGGAUUAUUGGGCCUAAAGCAUCCGUAGCCGGCUCUGUAAGUUUUCGGUUAAAUCCAUGUGCUCAACGCAUGGGCUGCCGAAAAUACUGCAUAGCUAGGGAGUGGGAGAGGUAGACGGUACUCAGUAGGAAGGGGUAAAAUCCUUUGAUCUAUUGAUGACCACCUGUGGCGAAGGCGGUCUACCAGAACACGUUCGACGGUGAGGGAUGAAAGCUGGGGGAGCAAACCGGAUUAGAUACCCGGGUAGUCCCAGCUGUAAACGAUGCAGACUCGAUGAUGCAUUGGCAUAUAGCCAGUGCAGUGUCGCAGGGAAGCCGUUAAGUCUGCCGCCUGGGAAGUACGUACGCAAGUAUGAAACUUAAAGGAAUUGGCGGGGGAGCACCACAAGGGGUGAAGCCUGCGGUUCAAUUGGAGUCAACGCCGGG